GCGGACGUGGGGCAUGGCGCCCCACUGCAUUGUAUGAUUUUUACUGGGUCAAUGUCGGCAGUUGAACGGGGUUCGACUCCCCGCGUCCGCA